UACGGAGGGGGCUAGCGUUGUUCGGAAUUACUGGGCGUAAAGCGCACGUAGGCGGCUUUGUAAGUAAGAGGUGAAAGCCUGGUGCUCAACACCAGAACUGCCUUUUAGACUGCAUCGCUUGAAUCCAGGAGAGGUGAGUGGAAUUCCGAGUGUAGAGGUGAAAUUCGUAGAUAUUCGGAAGAACACAAGUGGCGAAGGCGGCUCACUGGACUGGUAUUGACGCUGAGGUGCGAAAGCGUGGGGAGCAAACAGG
rnacentral:rRNA from 1 species